GUCCUCGUGGCCAAGUUGGUUAAGGCUUCACGCUUAUAAUACGAAGACAUUUCAUGUAUCGUAUCGUGACGAUCGGCGGUUCGAGCCCGCCCGGGGACA